rnacentral:sRNA from 1 species
AUAUUCAAGAUCAGGUUAACUCUGACCUGGAGGUGGCAUCUGUCCUAUUUAAAGGUUGAAAGUUAUGCUGAAUGCAAUAUCCAUACAUCUCCUUCUCCGGGAAUUCAAGUAAGGCAUGUCUACACCCCCUCUACAACAAAGCAUUUCUCACCCAUAAAACAGUCAACUACUUUAACCAACAAACACAGAGGAAAUGAGGUCUCUACCACACCUCUGUUAGCAAAUUCUUUGUCUGUUCACCAGUUGGCUGCUCAGGGAGAGAUGCUCUAUCUGGCUACUCGUAUUGAACAAGGUAAUAGCCUAUUUAAAAAUAUUUAAACAAAUUCAAUAGGAUUUAUUAGAUUUGUUAUUGUUUUAUUUUAAUAUAAGAAAGUCCUAAAGACAAAAACAAAUAGUUACAUAAACUCACCAGGCAGAUGACCCAAUGGAUAGUAAA